rnacentral:Y_RNA from 1 species
GUCCAAAGGUAGUGAGUUGUCUCAAUUAAUUGCUCACAGCCACUUUUACAUCAAACUCCUUGUACUACUUUUUCUCCCCUUCUCACUACCUCACUUGAC